GACGAACGCUGGCGGCGUGCUUAACACAUGCAAGUCGAACGGUAAGGCCUCGUUCUGGGGGUACUCUAGUGGCCAACGGGUGAGUAACUCGUGAGUAACCUGCCCGUGACUUUGGGAUAACUUCAGUAAACUGGGGCUAAUACCUGAUAGGUGCUCCUGCUGCACGUAGGGGGUUGGUAAGAUUCGGCCGUUUGGGUUGGACUCGCGGCUUAUCAGGUUGUUUGUGGGGGAUUGUGUUACCAAGGCUUUGACGGGUAGCCGUCCUGAGAGGGUGGACGGCGACAAUGGGACUGCGAUACGGAGCAGAAGCCUAUGGGAGGCAGCAGUGGGGAGUAUUGCCCAAUGGGUGGAAGCCUGAGGAGGCGACGCCGUGUGCGGGAUGACCGGUUUCGGGUUGUGAACGGCUGUCGCUCAGGAAGACGCUUUGUGUGACGGUAGUGGGUAAAGAAGCAACGGCUAACUACGUG
rnacentral:rRNA from 1 species